rnacentral:tRNA from 1 species
GGAGAGAUGGCCGAGAGGUUUAAAGCGUCGGAUUGCUAAUCCGUUGUACAAGUUCUAUGUACCGAGGGUUCGAAUCCCUCUCUCUCCU